ensembl:lncRNA
CAGAGAGGUUCCUCCACUACUCCUAGAGGGCUGCCUCAACAGACUGUAGGAAAAUUAAUUCAUGGACUGCUCGAGUUAAACACCGGGAGCAGUGGAUCACUGAACAAUCUGCAGAAGGGCUCUGGAGACACACUAACACUGCAGAGCUGGGAUGUUUUCUCCAGGGAAGGGCCUGGACAGCACAGCUGAGCACCAUCAACUUGCGCAGCCAUGAGCUGGAGGGAACCAUGCCAGUCAGUAUGUUGUAGAUUAUUCAGAUCCUGGCAGGAAAAAUCAAAAUCAAAAGAGCAACAUGUUUAGCAGUUUAAGAAGGAGGAUGAGCCACCACGGAGCACGAGAAGGAAGCUGCUUGCUGUUACUUGGAAUUAACAAUUGAAAGAGGGAGAAGAUUGAAGGAGUUUCCAGAGGAAAUGUGAAUUGCUUCUGGUUAGAUUCAAUUCCCCUCUGCUGCAGGGAGCUCCCUCUGAGGCGGGCAAUGUCCCCGCAUCCACGGCUGAAGCUGUUUCCAGCGCUGCACUCUUCUGCAGGCUUUAGAAACCCUAUCCCAGUCUCUUCUGGGAUGUAGCACGUGUAACCAGCAGAGAUCCAAAGUUACUUAACGAAGCAUUAUACAAAGAGGAGAAAAGCUUUUCUUCUGUGCAUCUAGCCAUCCUGCUUCUGUUUACAUUGGCCAAGACUUUGGAGGAAUACCUAAAAACUGAGGUUUGUAAAUGCAUCAAGUCCAACAUGAGCAACAUAAUGUAAUUAACACUUCAUGCCCAUGUUCCCCCUCUGCAUGCUUCUUCCACAUGAUCCAGAAGCUUUGAGACAACUGCUGUAAUUUUUU